rnacentral:rRNA from 1 species
UACGUAGGGGGCAAGCGUUUGUCCGGAUUCAUUGGGCGAAAAGAGCGUGUAGGCGGCCAGGUAGGUCGGUUGUGAAAACUGGAGGCUCAACCUUCAGAGGUCGCCGAAACCAUCUGGCUAGAGUCCGGGAGAGGAGAGUGGAAUUCCUGGGUGUAGCGGUGAAAUGCGCAGAUAUCAGGAAAGAACACCCCGUGGCGAAAAGCGGCAUCC